CUACGGGGUGCAGCAGUGAGGAAUAUUGCACAAUGGAGGAAACUCUGAUGCAGCAACGCCGCGUGGAGGAUGACGCAUUUCGGUGUGUAAACUCCUUUUAUAUGUCAAGAAAAUGACGGUAGCAUAUGAAUAAGCACCGGCUAACUCCGUGCCAGCAGCCGCGGUGAAUACGGAGGGUGCAAGCGUUACUCGGAAUCACUGGGCGUAAAGGACGCGUAGGCGGGAUAUCAAGUCAGGUGUGAAAUCCUACAGCUUAACUGUAGAACUGCACUUGAAACUGGUAACCUAGAGUAUGGGAGGGGGAGAUGGAAUUAGUGGUGUAGGGGUAAAAUCCGUAGAUAUCACUAGGAAUACCUAAAGCGAAGGCGAUCUCCUGGAACAUAACUGACGCUAAGGCGUGAAAGCGUGGGGAGCAAACAGGAUUAGAUACCCGGGUAGUC
rnacentral:rRNA from 1 species